rnacentral:rRNA from 1 species
GAUCCGUAACUUCGGGACAAGGAUUGGCUCUGAAGGCUGGGUGCGACCAGCCGGGACCGGUGCUCCACCUGCCGCAAGGUAGGCUGGCCCGUGCCCGCGGUCGCACAGCAAACAGCCAAUUCAGAACUGGCACGGCUGAGGGAAUCCGACUGUCUAAUUAAAACAAAGCAUUGUGAUGGCCCCGGGUGGGUGUUGACACAAUGUGAUUUCUGCCCAGUGCUCUGAAUGUCAACGUGAAGAAAUUCAAGCAAGCGCGGGUAAACGGCGGGAGUAACUAUGACUCUCUUAAGGUAGCCAAAUGCCGCUCAGUCUUCAUCCAGCCUUCGAGACGGCGUUACGCUGCCCA